GAUCUCUCUCCCUCCGGUUCGCCCCAUUUCCUUCCUCCUCCGAUUGCCGGCGAUUCCGGCCACCCCAAGGCGUGCCACCGGUCAUCCCAGGAUCGCCUCCUCCCUCCGAGCACCCCUGCAUCCUUGGUUUUCCACGAUUUGGCCGGAAAACCACGGAUCGACGAAGAACUCCUCCGGCUGCAGUUUGCCGAUUCCCGGCGAUUCCGGCCACCACCGGCCCCCAUCUCUUCGUCGAAGAAUGUGGACGAGAGGAGUCUCCAUACGAGGAGAAUCACGAGCGACGUCAGGAUUGACCGCAUUUUGUGAGUGGACCUUUGAUUUUAAUUGA
rnacentral:lncRNA from 1 species